AAAGUUUGUUAAGAUGGAGGAUUUCUAAUGAAUCAUUGUUGUAUCGAGAUUGGAAGUUAAAUGAGUCUGUUUUAAGUUGUGUUGAAGUUGAUAAUGAAUACCCAUCUUGAUAAGAAAGAGGAGGAGGAGGAGGAAGAUAGGAACAAUCAGUAAGUAGUAGCCAACAGCAGGAGGUGGAGGAGUACUAGACUCGGAAAUACAAGAGGUCAAGGUCUAUUUCCCGAGGAAUCUUUCGUUGGGAAGGGAAUUUGGGAAGCAGAUUCGCAAUGUGUUUAGCCCUCGUAAAAUAUGACGCAAACUUGUUGGUAUCAUUAUUGUUUUCUUUGUCUACUGGGUUCUUGAAUUCGUUGUUUCUGAACGUCCAGCUACCUGUUUUCCAAUUGAAGUGAUACAGUGGAAGGAAUCGCUGGCCGUAAAUGGCCGUAAACUCAAUCGCUGCAAGAAUGAACUCAAAUUCCUCACUGGACAUGUAGUAGGGGAAGCUAACUCUUGUCCAACCUGGCUUUACUCCAACAUAACCCUGCAAUUGAAGCAUCAGAAUUAUAUUAAUGGCAUCAAACGUUGACAUUUAGUGAAAUCACAGCAAGCAUCAGUGCUUUAGCAGCAGUUGAUUGAACAUUGUCGAGAAAUAUUAAAAGAACUAUCUACCUUAUUUAUGGCAGAUCUGAAGGCUAGGGAGCCUGGCUCAUUGACAUGGAGCAAACUAUGACCGUAGGGGCCGGCACAAGCACAGCCACCUCUAGCUUGAAUGCCAAAUAGGUCGUUAAGGAGUGCUGCGACAAAAGGUCCAUGAAGAGGCUUGUCUCUUUUGUUUCCUACCUCUCCCCACAUGUAAAGAACCUCAUCGUUGAUGUUUUUUCUAUCAGUUGUGCUGCUCUCAUGUAUCAUGCGAGUUGAUGAAGAGUUUGUAGUGGAGUAUAUGAGGAAGGACAGUAUAGCUUGUCGCUUAGCAGAAGUGUUACCUAAAACCCAUAUAUUCUUGUUUGGGAGAAGCCUGUCGAGUGCCUUUGCGAUGUACAUAUUCUCCUGCUCUUCAAUCACUCUGUAGCUAAUGUAUUCUUUAACCCAGAAAGCUAAUGCUGCUCUAAUGGUUUGAAUUA